AGGUAGUGACAAUAAAUCACAAUGCGGGACUAUACGUCUUGCAAUUGGAUUGAGAACAAUGUACAACUCUUAUCGAUAAGCCAUUGGAGGGCAAGUCUGGUGCCAGCAGCCGCGGUAAUUCCAGCUCCAAUAGCGUAUAUUAACGUUGUUGCAGUUAAAAAGCUCGUAGUUGAAGUGUGGGUGAUCGCUGUUGUGAGACUUCGGUCUCUCGACAGUAAGUCACCCCCUUCCAGUAUCCAGUAGUGGGUAUUCAGUUACUUACUAUUGUGUGUUGGUCAUUUACUGUGAGAAAAUUAGAGUGUUCAAAGCAGGCGUUUGCUUGAAUAGAUUAGCAUGGAAUAAUAAUUGAAGGCUUUCGUGUUCGAUUUGAUUGGUUUGUUCAUGGAAGCAAGGUUAAAAGGAACAGUUGGGGGUAUUCAUAUUCACUAGUUAGAGGUGAAAUUCUCGGAUUUAUGGAAGAUGAACAAGUGCGAAAGCAUUUACCAAGGAUGUUUU
rnacentral:rRNA from 1 species